GACGGAGGGGGCUAGCGUUGUUCGGAAUUACUGGGCGUAAAGAGCGCGUAGGCGGUUUAGUAAGUUGGAAGUGAAAGCCCGGGGCUUAACCUCGGAAUUGCUUUCAAAACUGCUAAGCUAGAGUGUAGUAGAGGAUGAUGGAAUUCCUAGUGUAGAGGUGAAAUUCUUAGAUAUUAGGAGGAACACCAGUGGCGAAGGCGGUCAUCUGGGCUACAACUGACGCUGUGGCGCGAAAGCGUGGGGAGCAAACAGG
rnacentral:rRNA from 1 species